rnacentral:rRNA from 1 species
GAUGAACGCUGGCGGCGUGCCUAAUACAUGCAAGUCGAGCGAACGGACGAGAAGCUUGCUUCUCUGAUGUUAGCGGCGGACGGGUGAGUAACACGUGGAUAACCUACCUAUAAGACUGGGAUAACUUCGGGAAACCGGAGCUAAUACCGGAUAAUAUUUUGAACCGCAUGGUUCAAAAGUGAAAGACGGCCUUGCUGUCACUUAUAGAUGGAUCCGCGCUGCAUUAGCUAGUUGGUAAGGUAACGGCUUACCAAGGCAACGAUGCAUAGCCGACCUGAGAGGGUGAUCGGCCACACUGGAACUGAGACACGGUCCAGACUCCUACGGGAGGCAGCAGUAGGGAAUCUUCCGCAAUGGGCGAAAGCCUGACGGAGCAACACCGCGUGAGUGAUGAAGGUCUUCGGAUCGUAAAACUCUGUUAUUAGGGAAGAACAUAUGUGUAAGUAACUGUGCACAUCUUGACGGUACCUAAUCAGAAAGCCACGGCUAACUACGUG